UAAAUAAUCCCAAUUAUUUAUAAAUCACAUUGAUAGAUUGAGUUUAUUAAAAAUUCAUAAUGCAAUAAUUUACAACGAUUGAUAAAGCUAGGUGAAAAUAAAACCAUACAGUACUUAAAAAGUCUAUCUAAAAGAAAUUAAAAGAAAGAAUUGUUGCAGGUAAAGUCAGUGAUGGUCAGCAUCUCUCAAUUACGUCAAAGGACUUUAAGCGAGCACUCCAGCCCAUUCAUCAUGACCAUCACCGCUAUCAAAAUUCUCUGUGAAAAAUAAAAGCCAUGGACACAACAUUUUUUUUAAAAAGUGACAAUUUCUAUAAACACAUUACGGGCUGCUGCUGACAAACAUGACAUUGCGUCAGUAGGAUAAAACUAACCUGGGUCACGAUAGACUAAAACCAGUUCUCAUUUCCUCCUAGUGGGUGAACGAUCCAAUGCUUGGUAAAUUCUGCUUUAUUACAAUCAUUGUCAAUUGGUGAAUUUGUAACAAAUCAAAGCAGUUCACACUUAAAAGAGGAAGUUGUGGUUAUUGUUUUCUUUAUUAUGAUAUCAUGACUUGCAAAAGUGACCUUGGUCCAGCUGGAAGGAACACACUAACGCACGCACGCACUCAGUGCAC